UACGUAGGGGGCAAGCGUUGUCCGGAUUUAUUGGGCGUAAAGAGCGUGUAGGCGGCCUGAAAGGUCAGCUGUGAAAACUCGAGGCUCAACCUCGAGACGUCGGUUGAAACCAUCUGGCUAGAGUCCGGAAGAGGAGUGUGGAAUUCCCGGUGUAGCGGUGAAAUGCGCAGAUAUCGGGAAGAACACCCGUGGCGAAGGCGGCACUCUGGUACGGUACUGACGCUGAGACGCGAAAGCGUGGGGAGCGAACAGG
rnacentral:rRNA from 1 species